CCUACGGGAGGCAGCAGUGAGGAAUAUUGGUCAAUGGCCGGAAGGCUGAACCAGCCAUGCCGCGUGAAGGUCAGUGCCCUAUGGGCGUUAAACUUCUUUUGUUCGGGAGCAAUAAUGGGCACGUGUGGCCAGACGAGAGGACCGUACGAAUAAGCAGCGGCGAACUCCGUGCCAGCAGCCGCGGGAAUACGGGGGAUGCAAGCGGUAUCCGGAGUUAUUGGGUUUCAAGGGGGCGUAGGCGGUGAGGUAAGUCAGCGGGGAAAUGCCCCCGCUCAACGGGGGGAAGGGCCAGUGAUACUGCCUUGCUGGCCUGCGGAUGCCGUGGGCGGCAUGUGUGGUGUAGCGGUGCAAU
rnacentral:rRNA from 1 species